UACGGAGGGUGCGAGCGUUAAUCGGAAUUACUGGGCGUAAAGCGCGCGUAGGCGGCUUUGCAAGUCGGGUGUGAAAUCCCCAGGCUUAACCUGGGAACUGCAUUCGAUACUGCCGUGCUUGAGGACUGGAGAGGAGACUGGAAUUUACGGUGUAGCGGUGAAAUGCGUAGAUAUCGUAAGGAACACCAGUGGCGAAGGCGGCUCACUGGUCCGGUACUGACGCUGAGGUGCGAAAGCGUGGGGAGCAAACAGG
rnacentral:rRNA from 1 species